rnacentral:lncRNA from 1 species
CCCAAUGAGACAGCCUUCGUACUUCCAAGUACUUUCCAUCCCAACAAACACAAACAAACCUGGCAGCUUGGGAUGGUCCAAUGGAAAUUGAAGGAUUAAUGUCUGUUUACACCAAUGUAGUGACCAAGUCUAGCCUUGUUAGUGGUGAGGAUUUCAAAAGCAUGCAUGGGAACACGAAAGCUGCAUUGGAUUACUACGUGUCUAUUAACGGCGAUUCGUAUAUAGCGACAUAUUUUGGAAAUAUGGAUAAGAUGGUUGCAGCAAUGCGAGCUUUUAAUGGCUUGUACGAGACGCUUUUCUUAAGCAGAAGAGCUUUUGCAGAAUUCACUUAUCAUCAAGGUUUGAGAGGGAAGGAAUUGAUGCAGGCUCUAUGGAAGAUUUUGUGAUGGGGAGAGGAUCUGCUCUGUCUGAUUGCUUUUGUGAGUUCAAAUUAUGUUUUCAGAU